rnacentral:tRNA from 2 species
GACUCUAUGGCUCAAUUGGCAGAGCAUCGGAUUCCAAAUCCGAAGGUUACAGGUUCAAGUCCUGUUAGGGUCA